GACGUCGAAACGUUGGAAUAAAAUCGUAUCAUUGCCAGAAUAGUUUUAUUAAAAAGUUGACGUGCAGACAUCGUUGCUCAGUGGUCACAUGGAGCUUCAAAAACAGUAAAAUGUAAAAACACGUGCGUCAUUGACGUUCAAAACAACGUAAACGUGGCGAUACAUUAGUUUCACGAGGCACUGGAGGCACUGGAGGCACUGGUGUACUGCGGUAUUUAAAGGGGUCCGAAUAAUCCUAGGACUGAAUUUUUAUUUUCUAGUUCUCUAGUUAUGGUAUUUAUUAACAUGGAGUUUGCAUGAUCAGUGGAAUGACCUCUUCGGAAGCCGAAUUGACAAUCAUGGAGUAUUUUAGAUCGAACUAGUUGGUGUUGUUGGAAAGAUGAACAGAGAGGUUGGCGAGCGGGAAUGAAGGAAUUCUGUAUGGUGACUGUCUGAUUGUGGAAUACUUU